UACGGAGGGUGCAAGCGUUAUCCGGAUUCACUGGGUUUAAAGGGUGCGUAGGCGGCGCGGAAAGUUGGGUGUGAAAUCCCUCGGCUCAACCGAGGAACUGCGCUCAAUACUACCGUGCUCGAGGGAGAUAGAGGUGAGCGGAACUUAGGGUGGAGCGGUGAAAUGCGUUGAUAUCCUAAGGAACACCGGUGGCGAAAGCGGCUCACUGGAUCUCUUCUGACGCUGAGGCACGAAAGCUAGGGUAGCGAACGGG
rnacentral:rRNA from 1 species